GCACUGGACGUCCUGCGGCUCAAGGAGGUCUUGUGUUUGAGCUGGGACUUCAUGAUGAUGUCGUGUUUGUGCUUGAGGUCCAGCAGGAUGCUUCGAAACUCCUCGUCCUCGCACAGGUCUGACAAGAGGAAAAGCGAGAGCGAGAUGAAAGCCGACUGGAUGGGACGGACCGGGAAGUCUGUACCGAUGGGCGUCUCCUCCAGGAAGGUCUUGGCAUUGAGGCUGGCUCCGUGAGACACCAGCAGCUCAGCGAGGUGCAUCUGAAAGGACAAAAUACUUGAGGCGGAUUCUAAGUCCAUCUGCUGGUGGACUCUCUCACCUGACCCCAGCACACCGCAGCAUGGAGCGGCUGCCACCCGUCCGAGUCCCUCAGGUCCAUGCCGGCGCCUCCUUCCAGCAGCAGUUCUGCAGCCUGCAUGAAGCCGUUUGCUGCUGCGAUGUGCAGCUGCGACCAAAACAUCUCUUCAAACUUGUCUUUUCUCACAUUCUUCACAAAUGUGGGUCUAAAACCCACCACACAGGAAGGAAACUUGUCGCUUUGUCUACAUUCCAAGCGUAGAACAAAAGGAUCUUGACGUCCCACCUGGACACAAACUUUUGACGCCUCGCCCCUGCCCUCGACCUCACGCCUGCCCACGGACCUCCGAGCCUGCCUUGCCCCUCUUGGACUUCUGCACUCAACACUACCGGUAACACUAAUCAGUUAGUCUCUACACAUAGUCGCACACCACACAUAUUUUGGAUUUGCCACACACUUCCUUUGUUAUUAAUAUUUGAAAAAUGGAAAUUUCAAUAGACUUGUCUCAACCUGACACGAAGUUAAAACACAUUGUAAUUCAUAGAAUGUCCUUACAGUCAAUGCAAAAAAACAAUACAUUGAAAUAUUCAAUUGAAUAUAAGUUGAAAAGGAUUUGCAAAUCAUUGUAUUCUCUUUUUAUUUACCAUUUACACAACGUGACAACUUCGCUGCUGUUGGGUUUUGUAGUUUGUCACUGUCGAAAAAGUGAAAGCAUGUGUAAAAGUGAAAGUGUGUCUCACCAGUGUGGCUCCUUGAGAGUCCUGCUGGUUGACCUCCUCUCCUGACCUCACUAGCUCCUGGAUAUCUCCCAGCAUCCUCCUCUCUGUUGAAGCUCGGGUCUCGUUGAUCAUCUCCUGGGUGAUGCCUGCGGGUCCAAUCACACACCAACGUAUUUAUAAGUUUUUAUCAUAACAUAUUGGAAAUGUUUCCAUGGCUGAACAGUUUUUGGACUUUCACAAGAGGCUUGUUAUAAACAGAAUCGGUGACAAAGGGCAGCCUUGGCGAAAUCCAACCCUCACUGGAAACGUUUCAUUCAUUCAUUUUUGUGUCCUAUUUUGUGCUUGCAGACUUAUUUUGCAGUGGACAAGCGAUUGAGCUGCUGCUUCGCCUCUGAGUGGGUGAAAGUUAAUUCCAGACAAUAAAUCCAGCCUUUCACCUGGAUAGUAGAAAGCUGUGCACAUGAAGCGAGAAGUUGAUGAACUUUGACAUCCGAUGUAUACCCAGUGAUGGCGUAAGACACAAAAAGACACUCCUUUGCGGAACUAUCUUAUUUUUUAAUCCUUUGUCAGGAUUAUGAUGAUUUUUUUUUUCUAAACGGGAAGAUAUGAACAUCCCAUCCGUCGGCAUCCCAGUGAGAGCACAAAUCGUACAGCUUAUUCCAAAAUAGAAUAUAUGCAUUUUAUAUAUAAUAAGCACCGUGGCCUGUCACGUCUUGGGCGCAUGCCAAUGUGCACUCAUCAAUGAACCCCGCGGAGUACACCUCGGGACACUCCCACGGCCGCUUAUCUCCUGCACACGCCACUCAGCGCACCUGUCAGUGAUGAGCUUCCUGGGCUUCUUAAGCCAGUGCAGACCUGCGUUCCGGGCCAGAACGUAACCAUCUGUUGGCGUACAACCUCCGUUCCCGUGACCUCCUUGUUCGUCCGUUUCCCUGACUGCCUCUUGGAUCACAAACUCCCGCUUGGACACGGACCGCCUACGUCCCACUAUAGCCCCCAACUUCCUGCUUGUUUUACGGAUCUAUGAACGUGCCCUGCCUCUUUUUGGACUUGCCUCUCGCGCAACAUUUACGGUAACACACAACAGUUAAUUCAUCUGUCGCGCAACAUUUGCGGUAACACUCAACAGUUAAUUCAUUCACAUAGUCGCACACACCAUACACUCUCUUGGAUUUUGUCACACUCCAUACCAUUGUUUGUUAUCAUUAUUGUUUGUUCUUCCGCUUAUCCGAGGUCAGAUCGCGGGUUCAGCAGCCUAAGCCGGGAAGCCCAGACUUCCCUCUCCCCAGCCACUUCGUCCGAGGCGUGUCCUGGUUUUCCCCGUGGCCUCCCACCGGUCGGACGUGCCUUAAACACUUCCCUAGCGAGGCGGUCGGGUGGCAUCCUGACCCGAUGCCCGAACCACCUCAUCUGGCUCCUCUCCAUGUGGAGGAGCAGCGGCUUUACUUUCAGCUCCUCCCGAAUGGCAGAGCUUCUCACUAUAUUUCUAAGUGAGAUCCCUGCCACCUGGCGGAGGAAACUAAUUUCGGCCGCUUGUACCCGUGAUCUUGUCCUUUCGGUCAUAAUCCAAAGCUCAUGAACAUAGGUGAGGAUGGGAACGUAGAUCGACCGGUAAAUUGAGAGUUUUGCUUCCCGGCUCAGCUCCUUCUUCAACAAAACGGAUCGAUACAGAGUCCGCAUAACUGAAUACGCCGCACCGAUCUGCCUGUCGAUCUCACGAUCCACUAUUCCCUCACUUGUGAACAAGACCCUGAGGUACUUGAACUCCUCCACUUGGGGCAGGGUCUCCUCCCCAAACCGAAAGAUGGCACUCCACCCUUUUACGGGCGAGAACCAUGGACUCCGACUUGGAGGUGCUGAUUCUCAUCCCAGUCGCUUCACACUCGGCUGCGGACCAAUCUAGUUAUUGUUAUUACUGUUGUUUGUUUUUAUUAUUGUUUGUUAUAAAUCAUAGAUCCAAACUACGCCCCAUGUUGUCUUGUGCCGUCUACUCCUCCAUGUACACAACAUGACCUCCCUCAAUCGUACAUGAAAGAUGUUUGGAGCCAUCGCGACUGGCCGGCCGUCCGAACUGAGCGAUCAAGGGAGAAGUGCCUCAGUCUGGGAAGUGACCGAGACCCCGAUGGUCAGUCUGUCAGAGAUACUGCAUUUCGUUGUAGCGAGAGGAGAGUCUUCCAGAAGGACAACCAUCUCCGUAUGAAUUCGCAAAUUAAUAGGUAGAAGGCUUUCCUUCAUCAAAGUUUGCUUAAAGGCACUGAAAUAAUGUCUCAUCAGACAAAGAUUUGCAUGAAUGCCAGGCAUCAUCAUGUUUGGAAUCCAGACUAGUUUCCCAUGAGGUGUCCUUCCCUACAGGGAAGGACACCUCAUGGGAGACUAGUCGGGAUUGAGGGAAAGAUAAAUACAGCAAUGUACAGAGACAUCUUGUAUGAAAAAAAAAUAAGUAAUCAGAGCAAAGGGUGGCUAUUUUGAAGAAAUUAGAAUAUAAAACAUUCAGCUAUUUCACCUUUUUUUGUUUAGUACAUAACUCCACAUGUGUUCAUUCACAGUUUUGAUGUGACAAUCUAUAAUGUAAAUAGUCAUGAAAAUAAAGAAAACACAUUGAGCUGGAUGAGGCAAUUCCUGAAGAAAUUGUGCCUCAACGAUCCAUUGCUGAAGUUUAACUGAAAUCCUGGAAUAUUUUUUUAGAAUUGUUGAAGUAGAGCACACAAUUCCAAAACAUGAUGAAUAUUUUAAAGUUGGAACAGUUUGAAUUAGAUGAAAAAUGUGGGUGUUGUGGCGAAGUUGGUAGAGUGGCUGUGCCAGCAAUCUGAGGGUUACUGGUUCAAUCCCCACCUUUUACCAUCCUAGUCACGUCCGUUGUGUCCUUGGGCAAGACAGUUAACCCUUGCUCCUGAUGGGUCCUGGUGAGCGCCUUGCAUGGCAGCUCCCGCCGUCAGUGUGUGAAUGGGCGAAUGUGGAAAUACUGUCAAAGCACUUUGGGCUCCUUAAAAAAGGGUAGAAAAGUGCUAUCCAAGUACAACCCAUUUACCAUUUACCAUUUCAAUGGGAAUUUCCCGAAAAGCGGGAUUUUUUUGAAAGGUCUAUAUGAGUUGAAAUGGCUGGUGUUGGAAUUUUUUUUUAAUCGGUCGAGAAAUGUUGAAGUAGUAACAUGUUGAAUUGAAAAAUGGUAUUAUGGAAUUCCUGGAACUUCGGGAAAACCCUGAAUUUUUCCAGUUCAAAAAACAACUUCAUUUGUUUCCUAAUUCAGAGGAAUGUUUUGAUGGGGGAACGGUUGAGAUGCAUUGAAAAAUGUGGACAAAGUAGUCGCCAGAAUAAAGGGUGGAAAUAGGGCUUUGAAAAACCCGGAAUUCUGGAAAAUGCUGAAAUUGUUUUGAAGUUGGAAAAAUUGAAGUUUUAAUUUCCAGAAAGGUGGAAUGUCUUGAAGGCGGAUUGAUUUGAAUUGGUUGAAAAAUGUGGGAAUGGUGAAAGUUUGAAAAAUGGGCAAUUCAUUUUGAAUGGGAAAAAUGUCCCGGAAGACCUGAAAUCCUGGGAAAUCUGGGAUUUUUUGGGAAUUUUUUCAAGGGAAAGCCCACCAUUCCCGAAUAGGCUGAACAGUUUGAAGUUAGAAGAGUUUGAAUCGGGUGAAACAUGUGGAAAGAGUAGUCUCCAGGAAAAAAGGGUGGAAAAAGGGCUUUGGAAAAGCAGGAAUUCUGGAAAAUCCAGGAAUUUUUGGGAACUUGAAAAAAGGGAAGUUUGGAUUUCCAGAAUGGUGGAAUGUGUUGAAGGUGAAUGGUUCGAAUUGGUUGAAAAAUGUGGAAAUGAUAGAAGUUUGAAAAGUGGCCAAUUCAUUUUAAAUGGGAAAAAUUUCCCGGUAAAGCUGGAAUCUGGGAAAUCUGGGAAUUUGUCAACAGAAAACCGGUGAUUCCCAAAUAGGCUGAACAGUUUGAAGUUGGAAGGGUUUGAAUGGGGUGAAAAAUGUGGAAGGAGUAGUCCCCAGAAUAAAAGGGUGGAAAAGGGGCUUUGGAAAAGCAAGAAUUCUGGAAAAUCCUGGAAUUUUUGGGAACUUGAAGAAAGGGAAGUUUGGAUUUCCAGAAUGGUGGAAUGUGUUGAAGGUGAAUGGUUUGAAUUGGUUGAAAAAUGUGGAAAUGAUAGAAGUUUGAAAAGUGGCCAAUUCAUUUUGACAGGGAAAAAUUUCCCGGUAAAGCUGGAAUUCUGGGAAAUCUGGGAAUUUGUCAAGGGAAAACCGGCGAUUCCCCAAUAGGCUGAACAGUUUGAAGUUGGAAGGGUUUGAAUGGGGUGAAAAAUGUGGAAGGUAGAGCACGAUACCUCGGUUGGCCAUGGCUGUCUCGAUGAUAUCCAGUGUAGGGUCGUCUUCACAAAUAUCGUAGGGCAUGUUGCCGUCAGAGUUGACCGCCAGCAAAUCUGCUCCGCUGUGGAAUGUUAGCAAACGUUUGAAGGAGUUGAUCAGUUUGCGACGUCCAGGUCAUCUUACUGUGCGAUGAGGAGCUUGACGAGGCCCGCGUGGCCACACGUGGCGGCGGCGUGCAGCGGCGUCCACAGCUCGUUGUCCUGAGCGUUCACGUUUGCGCCUCGGUUGAGCAGGAUCUUCACCAUCUCCUCGUAGUUGUCUAUGCAGCACUGUGCGGGUGGAGAGAGACGCACGGAAGAGAGUUACAAUCUACUUCGGCCAGAAGAAAUGGCAGAAAAGGAUUGGAAAAUAUAUCAAAACGAACGUUUGAGGCUAGCAUUUACAGUCCUGGUCAAAAGUGUACAUAC